rnacentral:rRNA from 1 species
UGGGGAAUAUUGCACAAUGGACGGAAGUCUGAUGCAGCGACGCCGCGUGGGGGAUGAAGGCUCUCGGGUUGUAAACUCCUUUUGCUGCUGAAUAAGGCUCUUUUUAGGGCCGAGGGUAGGUCUUGAAUAAGCGCCGGCUAACUACGUGCCAGCAGCCGCGGUAAUACGAAGGUCGCGAGCGUUGUCCGGAAUUAUUGGGCGUAAAGGGCGCGUAGGCGGCAUGUCGCGUCUGCUGUGAAAGACCGGGGCUUAACUCCGGGGUUGCAGUGGGUACGGGCAGACUAGAGUGCGGUAGGGGUAGCUGGAAUUCCUGGUGUAGCGGUGGAAUGCACAGAUAUCAGGAGGAACACCGAUGGCGAAGGCAGGAUACUGGGCCAUUACUGACGCUGAGGAGCGAAAGCAUGGGGAGCGAACAGG